AUGGCGGAGCUGCUGCGAGCGGCCGGUUUCUUUGACCUGCGCGGCGCGGCGCCGUUCGUCGUGGCAGCGGCGGUGGCGAUGUACUUCUUGGUCGAGCAGCUGUCCUACCUCCGCAAGAAGGGCCCGCUGCCCGGCCCGUCGCUCGUCGUGCCGUUCCUCGGCAGCGCCGUGCGCAUGAUCCGCGACCCCACGGGGUUCUGGGACGCGCAGGCGGCGCGGGCCAGGGAGUCCGGCGCCGGCCUCGCCGCGGACUUCCUGUUCGGCCGCUUCAUCGUCUUCGUCCGCGACUCGGAGUUGUCCCACCGCGUCUUCGCCAACGUCCGCCCCGACGCCUUCCACCUCAUCGGCCACCCCUUCGGCAAGCGCCUCUUCGGCGACCACAACCUCAUCUACAUGUUCGGCGAGGACCACAAGGACCUGCGCCGCCGGAUCACGCCCAACUUCACGCCGCGCGCGCUCUCCACCUACGCCGCCAUCCAGCAGCGCGUCAUCCUGGCCCACCUCCGGCGGUGGCUCGACCAGAGCGCCGCCACCGGCGAGGCCAUGCCGAUUCGGGUGCCCUGCCGCGACAUGAACCUGGAGACGUCGCAGACGGUGUUCGUCGGCUCCUACCUCUCCGAGAAGGCCAGGGAGCGGUUCGCCAAGGACUACGCCCUCUUCAACCUCGGCCUCAUGUCCGUCCCCGUCGACCUGCCCGGGUUCGCGUUCCGGCGCGCGAGGCUGGCCGUGGCGCGGCUCGUGCGCACGCUCGGGGAGUGCGCGCGGAAGAGCAAGGCGCGCAUGCGCGCCGGCGGCGAGCCGGAGUGCCUGGUGGACUACUGGAUGCAGGAGACGCUGCGGGAGAUGGACGAGGCCGCGGCGGCGGGGCGGCCGCCGCCGGCGCACACCGGCGACGAGGAGUUCGGGGGCUUCCUCUUCGAUUUCCUGUUCGCCGCCCAGGACGCGUCCACGUCCUCGCUCUGCUGGGCGGUCUCCGCGCUCGACUCCCACCCGGACGUGCUCGCCCGCGUGCGCGCCGAGGUGGCCGCGGCCUGGUCGCCGGAGUCGGGCAAGCCGAUCACCGCCGAGAAGAUCCAGGGGAUGAGGUACACCCAGGCGGUGGCGCGGGAGGUGGUCCGGCACCGGCCGCCGGCGACGCUGGUGCCUCACGUCGCCGGCGAGGCGUUCCAGCUGACGGAGUGGUACGCGGUGCCCAAGGGGGCCAUGGUGUUCCCGUCGGUGUACGAGUCGUCGUUCCAGGGGUUCGCCUCGCCGGACGCGUUCGACCCGGAGCGCUUCUUCUCGGAGGCGCGCCGGGAGGACGUGGCGUGCAAGCGCAACUUCCUGGCCUUCGGCGCCGGCGCGCACCAGUGCGUCGGCCAGCGGUACGCGCUGAACCACCUCGUGCUCUUCCUGGCGCUCUUCGUGUCCGUCGCCGACUUCCGGCGGGACGGCACGCCGGGGUGCGACGAGCCGGUGUACAUGCCGACCAUCGUGCCCAGGGACGGCUGCGCCGUGUACAUGGAGCAGCGCUGCCGCACGUUCCCAUCCUUCUGA
rnacentral:rRNA from 1 species